rnacentral:lncRNA from 1 species
CCCAGAGCGAAUGCGCCCGACGCGAGCACAGAAAUCGCGGGCAAGCGCGAAUCGUCAUUUAAACUUCGCUGAAGUGACCACGUUCGUUCACUUGUAAGCAGCCUUUAAGAACAGGGCCCAGAGCCUCCCGGUAGCAGAUCCCUGCCCCCACCAAGUCCCUAGCCUUGCUCUUGGACUGCUCUCUGAAGGACACCCCUCUACUUAAAACACCCAGGGCACUACAAGCAUGAGCCCCCGGCAUAUCUGCAAAACCAGAGGUGGGAAUCAGGGGUGACCUUCUGGGACAGGAACCCGGCGAAGCCAGGGCUUACUGCGGGGCUGAACCUUUGAGGCCAGAGACGCUCGGACCUGCUCCUUCCCUGCCUUUCAAGAUGUACCACAGACUGAAGCUAACCUACAGGGCACAACGAACAUUCUACUUGGCAAAAAAGAAAAAAAGAAAAAAAGAAAAAAGAAAAGAAAAAGGUUAGUUUAGAAACUGAGACUUUUAGCCAUGCCAGGAAUUUUAAAUCUGAGCUGAAUGGAAAGCAUUCAGGAGACCAUGAACCUGGGACCUGGGAGAGGAAC